CCCUCGCUCAACAAAUCGCUAUUCGAAGCUUACACACAGAGACACUCGGCUUCGGCCAGAGUCUCGUUACAAACCAUUGCUUUGGGAGAAAGUCCCCGGACGUCUCUCUUCGGAGAGUCUGCGGAAACGCGCCGCCAUAGAAGCACUGCGGCUGACCUUUUGCGCCUUGGCCCUCUUCGUGCAUCAUCCCGCCCUGCCCGUCGCUACAUCCAGUCUGCGAGUCUUUGCCGGACCCCAGUUGCAUCUCUCGGCCCCUUUGGACGAAGAUAUGAGUCCGCGUUGGGAUGGUGUGACUGGGACUCUCUGGCAAGGGCAAGCAGGCUUGGAUGAUGGGUGGCCGUGGGAGACGUGAAGUGUGGUAUCGGGUGCUAAGGAUGUGUUGUCGAGGUUGAUAGGUAUGCGAUUGCUCGGUUUACCGGGUUACUCGAUGGGGCUUAUUCUUGAGGCGAGG
rnacentral:RNase_MRP_RNA from 2 species